UUGGGGGAUCGUCCAACCGGCAGGACACUGGGUUUUGGUCCCAGGAAUCGAGGUUCGAGUCCUCGUCCCCCAGUCC
rnacentral:tRNA from 1 species